rnacentral:tRNA from 1 species
ACCGCCUUAUAGUAUAUACCAACAUAUUACAGUAAAUUGCAACUUUAUUAAAGCCUAACGCUAAGGCGGUC